GACCGCACGGGAUAAUCGAUUAUCCCGUACGGUCCAUUUAUACCGACCGCACGGGAAGAUGGAUUAUCCCGUGUGAUC
rnacentral:pre_miRNA from 11 species